GAGAAACUUCAGUAACCAUGGGAACUUGACGCCAGCAUGAGAUGGGUAAAACACGGACAGACGCUGUGGAUAGUGGAUGUGUGGGACCAUAUCCUUGUUCCACUGACAUCUGACUGCCAGAGAAUGAGUGAGUGCUCCUGGGUGGAUGUUGGCAGGCUGCUGGAGACACUGGUGGGUCUGGUGGAGGUGGGACUGUUGACACGUGCUGGAAGCCAUGGAUCCUUCCAGCCCAGAGUGGAUUUGCAUCCCCACGGCUCAGAGCGUGGCUUAAAUCUGCAGCCAGACCAGGUAACACUCGCUGGGCCCUCAUUCUCUGCUGUUUUGGUCCUGCUGAAACAUCAGCCCAACGUGUGUGUUGGAAAAGAAGACCAUCAGUGUGAAGGAAGAGUGAGUAGACUGUGCUGGAGCUGGUCCACGCUUGUAAGUCAGGUGCUGACUCACCAAGCCAGAGGGCACAGUUCAGAGGUCUGGCAGAAUUACAGCUGGUGGGCUUCAGGCAUUGCCUGUGUCAAAGGAGAACUGGAAAUAGUUGUUUAUGUGUAUGAAAAAGAUGAAAUACUCAUUAAUGACUGUGAUUUAUUGUCAAGAUAAUAUAAACCGAUUGGGAAAAAUAUAAGUUUUCAACAUGCAACUGUUUUGAAAAAAUGGAAAUUAAUUUUUCUCAAGAGUUGGCACAUUUAUUAGGAAGCCCUUUUUCUUGGAGAAACAAGCCAGUGCUAGAUGGCAAGGCAAAGGAGUUAGAAGUUUAGCCAUUAAUUGAUUAGGGAUAGCUAACUUGGAAAUGUGUAUUAUCUUUACAAUGAAUUCUGCUUGGUAGAAAAUGUGUAUUGUCUGUGACCUCUGCUGUGCUUUCAAAAGCAGAUGGACAUCUGCUGUGCUGGCAAAACAGCGUGAAAGAACGCAGCACUCUUUGAUGAGGAAGGAGUUGUAACCUCAAGACAGGAUGAAGUGAGACAGGAAUGCAGAGACUGAGAUAGGAAGGAUUGCUUAGAUCCCACAACUGGCCAGGACUAGUCUUGCAGCUUGGACUCUGACCAAGGGAGCAGGGAGCACGUGUGAAGAGGAAAGGUGAAGAGUUCAGAUGUGAAGAAGAGCUUGGAAGCCUUCAUCAAAGACCACCAAUGAUCCCUAAACUGGGCAGGCACAAGCACAGACAGCACCUGGAGCUAAUUACCAUACAAAGUGAGGCUAGGCGGGACUAGGGAAUGAAAAUGUAUCAAGCAUCUUGUGUAAUCCUAGACUGUAGAGAAUAAAAGGGGAACAGCCAUUGCUUUCAGUGCAUGUGCCUUUGGGAAUGAUCCUGCAUGUGCCUGGUGCUGGAUGAAUACGUAUCUACCUUACAGCUUUACUGAGUUGUGGAGUCUUUCUGCAUAUCAUUGGUUUCAUCCUUUAUUGACAAUGGCAUUUUGGAUUUGGCAGCUGAUUUGGAAAAGUGUUUUCAGUUGAAGUUGUUGGUAUAGUCAUAGAAUGAUGGUAUUGUGAAGAAAAAAUAAUUUCAUUUUAAGGCCACUGAAAGCUGCAGUGAAAUCACAGAAGAAAUAUCUGCUCACUUUGCAACUUAACAUGCUAAAGACCCACAAGGAGAUUGCUGCAAAAAGGUUAUUUUGAAAAUAAGUAUUUGAGACUGGAAUACGCUCUUGACUAUUUUGAGAGUCAGUGAAGAAAGAAACAAAAAUAUCUACAGUAAGAGACAAGCGAGCAAGAGGAAUGAGUAAGGAAAGAUGAAGGCAGAUGCAUCCAGUUGUGUGGAUUCCAGUAAACAGGUUUGAUGGCUCUGGUGACAAGUAACCUGCACAAAUGCUCCUUGCUCUACUGGUUCUGCCUCUGUUGAAAGAGUAAAAAUGGGGGAAGAGGGAAGAGAUUUAGCAGUGUGAAGUAUCAGCUAUACAUGGACACAGAAAUAAAUCUGUGGAAAGGUGAAAAAUGGCAAGGCAAACAAAACAAGUGGUUGGAAAUCUCACUGUCAUGACUGAUACAACUGAGUCAUUUGACACUGGUGCUGGAAUCUGAUUCAGAAAAGACAACUACAGAGAACUGAGGAAAUGUGGACAAAGUUAGGAGACACUGCUUCAGGAUGGGAAAAAUAAACAUCUCCCCUGAAUGAGCUGAGAUUUGCAUGUAAACCUGCUCUGCACCUUAAAUGCUUCAUUGAAGAUAACACUGGAGAUUUGCAGUGUAAUUGCAAGUGUAAGGCAAUGUGAAUGCCUACCAGUGAAGAUUUAAUGAACUGCUGUUAUUUCAUCUAAAGAAGAAAAAAGACACAGGUGCUACAGGAUAAUUGCCAUUAAACUGAGAAGAGACUGCUGCAAAGCCAGGUCAUUCAAAUUUCCAUGUUGUCUGAAGCUAAUCCCAGCUGUGACUGGAAACAGCUCCAGAUGCAGCAGCAGCUUAAGAAGGACCUUGAGAUAGUUUACAAAAUGAAUUAAUGAGAGUGAAUAGUGUAAUCUACAUUUGCAAGUCCUUUCAUCCAAGGCUCUUGGAGCAAUUAAUAAACACUGCUGCACUGCUGCAACAGAAGAAACAGUUGCUGCAAGAAAUUCUCAGUGAUACUUCUGGAGGGCUUGAAGAACUGUUUGAACUGUCAUGAGGCUGGUACAACUGAGGGCUGGAUGUGAUAUGGAAGGCCAGUGGUGACAGAGGCAAUGCUACAACAUGGGUGUCUGACCACUGGACUCCUGGAAGAAGCACCAUCAUCCCUUCUGUGAAUUAUGAUUGGCAAAAUUCUUCAUCUUGGGAAAGAUCUGAAUGCACAUAGCAACUUGAGUAGACCUCAUUUAUCCUAUUCAAAAAUGCAAGUACUUUAAUUACAACACUGCCUUUCUCCUCAAAUCAUUUUAAUGUGAUAGAAUUUCAAUUUGUGUAGUCUUUCCUCAUAUUAUAGAUAUUUUUAAUCUGAGGUUCAGCUUGUUAGCAUCUGUACCACUUCACAGGCCUACAGGAUGCUAUUAGGCAACCAGGUUGCAAGGACAGAAUUCAGCAGAUGGAUUUCAAUUUCCUUACCCUUAGAAAUAGGGCUCCAGCUACCAGGGAGACCUAUUCCUCCUCAUUCUUUCAAGAUUUUUAAGUCUUUUAUAAUUAGUACUUCAUCUUUAUUCCAGGCACCAGUAUAGUAGACAAGCAAAGUAAUAAAACUCUUUUCAUGCAGGGCUUUCCUUCCCUGCCUGAUGUCUGUGGUUUAUACCACACAUCCAGUUGUGUCUGUGACUGUACAAUGUGCAAAACAACACCUUUUCUAUUGAAAUAAAAUUCUUGGCUUGGUUCUUCAAAUUUGCAUUUUGUCUAACACUGAAAUGAUGUAAUUUUUUUGGUCCAGUGUGUGAACUAACCUUGUGGUACUGGGGACAAAAUAUCAAGCAGAGUAGUAAAGAGGGUUACUCUGAAGUUACAAUUCAUGGUUGGUACAUAUGGAUUGGCAUGAAAUCCUGAUGCAACAAAUGAAAAGUUAGUGGCUGAACACCUUUCUAGUGACUUUCUGAGCCAAUAAUUCCACCUACUGUAGGCAUGCAUGGGUUCCCUAAUGUGUGAGGGUCUCACUUGGUUCCUUGUCCUCUAUUUUUAGGUGAAAAUGAAAUUAGAGCUCUAACAGAAGAGCAUGUUUUUGAAUAUCAGAAAAUACAGUCUCUGUAGAAAGUCCUUAUGGGACUAUUUAUUUAUGUAUAGUUAAGGUUUGCAGCCACUAUGUGUUAUGUGGUGAUUGCCUGUAGGGAAAAAAAGUGUAUUUAUACAUAAUGAAGUAGUGCACAGCUACUAAAAGCAGAUAUGCUGGAAAUUAAACCAGGAGAAAAAGUAUUUCUUUACAUUAUUCUCAGUGGUGUGCUGGGAAUAUAUAGGGUUUCCUAAAUGAUACUUGGGCCUCUCCAAUAGGUACAUUAUUAGAUGUUUGAUAUAAAACUUCACUGGCUAUGCAGAAACCCAGGCUGUAUCAUUACAAAUGCAUCUUCAGUGAGCUCUUUUUUUAAAAAGCCACAUAAUUUUAUGUUGCAUUACAUUAUACAUAUUAUAAUAUUGGCUUUUUGCAAAUAUUAAAGUGAAUGUUAUAUGUAUAAAUAUUGGAAAACUUUGCUAUAGGAAACUUAGAAAUAGCGGUGUGAUAUAUAUAUGUAUUUUUUAGGCUGUAGUAUGGUAUUAAAAUAAA